GACUCGGUACUGUGCGCGAAAUUGAAAAGCUUGACCAUGGUGGUUUCCGAUUCUUCUUGCUCUGAUGCAAAUAAAGAUUUUGCUCGGGGAAAUUGUUAUAACCCAGAAGUUAUUAGCACUACAAAAUUCAGGGAUGUAGUUGCAAAUGACGUCUUAAUGGCUUUACAACUGAUGGCCUCGCUGCUAUUGCUGCCAAUUGUAGGAGAUCUCAAUUGCAACAAAUGUAGCCCAAAAGGAAAUUGAUAAGUACAUCAAGAUACCUGGAAAAGCCCUUCAGCUAAGUCAACCUAUCAACAACAGUUCCAUAUCAUUCCAAAUGCCGAGGUGUUUAUAUAUUUAUGAUUCGGUUCAAACAGCAGGUUGCAGAAGCAAGAGCUGGCAUCGUUUGCUGAGUCGGCUGAAAAUAUGGUCCAAGCUUUGGAGGAGUCUGUGAGACGAGAACCUCUUAGUUCCCUCCAAUCUUCACCAGAUGCUAUGCCA